CAGCGGUGCAGUCUUGGUUCACUACAGCCUCCACCUCCCAGGUUCAAGGGAUUCUCCUGCCUCAGCCUCCCGAGUAGCUGGGAUUACAGGCACCCAUGACCAUGCCCAGCAUAGGAGAUGCUGUUGCUAUAAUGGUAUCCUGCUAACACAGAUAAUAGCAAUUUCCCCAUUUACCUAUAUAAGACUGGGAGAAGGUCAACCUAGAAAGAGAGGCUGACACUGGCAUAAAUGAAGACGGAAAAAUUUGGUGUGUCAAACUAACAGUAGCAAAGAAGACCACAGGAUAGAGAGGAGAAUGUCUUUAUUUUUGACCCUUCAUUUUCUGCAACAGUCAGGAGUUGAUAUAUUUUGGAUUAAAAAGAAGAAAAAAUUAAGCAAUCAUGCAAAUCAAUUACCAAUAUAUUCACAAAAGAU